UAGGCGAGCCUUUAUUCGUGCAUCAGAGUUAUUUGUUACCAAAUAAGCUUAGUUUAGUCGAGUCUAAGUUAAGGUACUUAUCUACUUGAUUUUGAUAUCCGUUUCUCACUUAAUUGAUUGGAUUUCCCAUUCUUUCAUUUGAGGUAACUCUCGUAGUUUAGUUUGCAUCUUCAGGUGAAUGGUGCUUGUUUCUUCCAUGAUUUUUUAACACGUCUUGAUAAUAACAUAAAUUAGAUAUUUAUAAGUUUUAGAAGAUGUAUUGCAUACUAUUUAGAGCAUAUUUGUUGCAUGAAACGGGAUAAGACGAUGACUAUCCUUUUAGUAGUUGAUUAUGCAUAGCAAAGUAUCUCUUAAAAUAGUUUGGAAGUUAAUUAUUUGUGAAAUGAUUUUAGAAAUACUAUGUGAAAUGUGUCCUUCUUGAUGGAGGAACUGUGAAAGGAUACAAACAUCAAUUUGUAAAACUGGUUUUUAAAAUGAAGUCUGAAGUUUUUUUACGUUAGUUACUUGUACAAAUUUGUGCAGAGCAACCAAGUGUUUGUGCCCCUGUUAUCCUAAUAUGUGGCCCAAAUACUGUUGCUACUUUUGGGUGAUCUUUGAGCGUGAUCUAUUAAAAUUUGAGCACUUUUUGGACAAUUUUGGGACGCAUGUGGCAAGAGAGCAUGUGGAACUGAGGCCCUUUCCAAAUCUGGGGAGAGAGAGCUUUUUGUUGUGGAUGGUGCCGGUACCGGGGGAUUCUCUUGGAAGAGAGAAUGGGGAAAUCAGAACCCGAUGUAUGCGGCUUUUCUUGAAGACAAAUAGUCGUCACUUUGCUUCGAAACGGAGUCUUGAAGAAACCAGCUUCACAAGUAUAUAUUAAUCAUUCUUAAGAUAAAUCUUUAGACGCAGAGAGAGAGAGAGAGAGAGAGAUUGAACUUUCUAUUGUAUAAAAUAGGUUGAAGUUGGGGUUUCUUGAUAUUCUAGGCUGCUUCUGCUACUGCUGCCACUCUUAGCAGUCUCUUUUGUUUUCAUUUUCCUUCUCUUGUUAUUUUUGCUGUACAACUUAUUACAAUGAGGUGAUGAUUUAAGAGAUUGUUAA